rnacentral:lncRNA from 12 species
UGGGUACGCUGUCUUGCUUUAGGAAAAGGAUGGCUUCUGGCAGGAGGCUGUGGAUCCCGUCCCUCUGUUUGCUUGUUGGCUGCUGGUGUGAGGAGGCUGGAAAAGGAUGGAAAGGGAUCUCACGGAAAAACCAUGGCAUGAAUGAAUCAGAGAACAUUGCUUCCUACUUAAAUGCUAAAUUCUUAUCAGCUACAGAAGGGAUGUAAUUCUGAAAUCCAGGCACAGAACAGAGGACAGAUGUUGUCUGGUCAGGAAGGCGUCUUCCGGAUGGGAAUAUCACUUCUGCUCCUCACAGCUGUCAUCAGAGGGACAGCUCAUGUGUCUGAAGGUACCCCUGGAAUCUGCUGAAUCAGAAUCCGAGUUUCCUGCUGCAGCAAGGUUUUACAAUUCUCCUCUCCCUCGCUGACCUAAAUCUCUC